GAUGAACGCUGGCGGCGUGCCUAAUACAUGCAAGUCGAGCGAACAGACGAGGAGCUUGCUCCUCUGACGUUAGCGGCGGACGGGUGAGUAACACGUGGAUAACCUACCUAUAAGACUGGGAUAACUUCGGGAAACCGGAGCUAAUACCGGAUAAUAUAUUGAACCGCAUGGUUCAAUAGUGAAAGACGGUUUUGCUGUCACUUAUAGAUGGAUCCGCGCCGCAUUAGCUAGUUGGUAAGGUAACGGCUUACCAAGGCAACGAUGCGUAGCCGAACUGAGAGGGUGAUCGGCCACACUGGAACUGAGACACGGUCCAGACUCCUACGGGAGGCAGCAGUAGGGAAUCUUCCGCAAUGGGCGAAAGCCUGACGGAGCAACGCCGCGUGAGUGAUGAAGGUCUUCGGAUCGUAAAACUCUGUUAUUAGGGAAGAACAAAUGUGUAAGUAACUAUGCACGUCUUGACGGUACCUAAUCAGGAAGCCACGGCUAACUACGUG
rnacentral:rRNA from 1 species